rnacentral:lncRNA from 1 species
AAGGGUCGGGCCAUGCGUCGUCUUCGGCACGAACGGGACGGCGUUGCCGCCGAACUCCAAGGCGAGCGCGAGCAGCUCCGGGUGAGCCUGGAGAAGCUCGCUAAGGCUGAGGAGGAGCUUUCGAUCGCCCAGGCCGACGCCGACAUAGCAAAGGCGGAGGCAGAGUCGGCGAAGGAGUCGCUCGGCCGGGCGGAGGAAGAGGCAA